CCUACGGGAGGCAGCAGUAGGGAAUAUUGCUCAAUGGGGGAAACCCUGAAGCAGCAACGCCGCGUGGAGGAUGAAGGUUUUCGGAUUGUAAACUCCUUUUGUUAGAGAAGAUAAUGACGGUAUCUAACGAAUAAGCACCGGCUAACUCCGUGCCAGCAGCCGCGGUAAUACGGAGGGUGCAAGCGUUACUCGGAAUCACUGGGCGUAAAGGGCGCGUAGGCGGGAUAGCAAGUCAGAUGUGAAAUCCUAUGGCUUAACCAUAGAACUGCAUUUGAAACUGUUAGUCUAGAGUAUGGGAGAGGUAGGUGGAAUUCGUGGUGUAGGGGUAAAAUCCGUAGAGAUCAAGAGGAAUACUGAUUGCGAAGGCGACCUGCUAGAACAUAACUGACGCUGAUGCGCGAAAGCGUGGGGAGCAAACAGGAUUAGAUACCCGAGUAGUC
rnacentral:rRNA from 1 species